rnacentral:tRNA from 1 species
GAGCCAUUAGCUCAGUUGGCAGAGCACCUGACUUUUAAUCAGGGUGUCGAUGGUUCGAGUCCAUCAUGGCUCA